AAUUUGUGUUUCGCUUUUGACUGUAGCCUCCGCCGCUCUCCACAGCGGCCAUUUCACCCUGCUGCUGAUCUGCGGAAGACGAGUUUGUAAGAUCACUUCUGAUAAAGUUGCUACAUUUAAAACUGCAGGCCAUCAAAGUCGUUUCUGCCAACGAGAAUCAACUAUCCAAUGUAAUUGGCCCAAAGGCGGAUAAUUGGGCGGGACCAAGCACGUUUAAGGAUGCUAUGGCUCAUAGCUUGCUUUGCACACGGAGGUGGGGAAGGAGGAAAGCAGGCGGACUGGGUAUUUAAGUAUUGCCUCCGUGGCCACUGGCCACUCCCUGGUGGCGUCCUGUGGGCUGGGAAACAGCAAGGAGGCGGGAGGAGUCCGUCAGGGUGGAGGAGAAGAGACCCCAUCACACUCAGACACUGGCUGUAACUGCGCUGGGAGGAGAAAAUUGGCUCGCUUGUGGGAGGGCUUUUAUUAUUGGGAUGUGCAAGGGGGCUGUCAGUGAAGCAGCACAUGUACCCAUGUAAACAGGACAGAGGGUGGAGUCCAUCUUCAGGCCAAGCCUGCGUCCACCCAUCUGUCUGAAGUCAAACACUCUGAUGUUACUAUACAAUUGAUACAUUUUCCAAUUUUUCAAUCCCGUUCCACACAAACACAGACCCAAUCCGGAUCUGGCUGCCAGCGCACCAUACACACAGCCCCCCUUGCUUGUUGGCUCUGUUGUAGGCUACAAGUGUCCCAGUAAUGACAGUGUGACAGUAGGCCAGCAUGCAUGCACAUACCAUGACCCUGAAACGGAAGCAGCUAAAUGGAAUUCAGCCAUAUUUAUUUUAUAAUUUACACCUGUGCUUUUCUUACUUUGACAUGUAAAAUUUCUAAAACCCUAUCUCCUGCAAAAUAAAGAGUAACCUUAA